UACGAAGGACCCGAGCGUUAUCCGGAUUUAUUGGGCUUAAAGGGUGCGUAGGCGGAAUAGUAAGUCAGUGGUGAAAGCCUGUUGCUUAACAACAGAACUGCCAUCGAUACUGCUAAUCUUGAGUACAUAUGAUGUGGGCGGAAUGUGCCAUGUAGCGGUGAAAUGCUUAGAUAUGGCACAGAACACCGAUUGCGAAGGCAGCUCACAAAACUGUUACUGACGCUGAGGCACGAAAGCGUGGGGAUCAAACAGG
rnacentral:rRNA from 1 species